AAAGAAUAGGGAGAUUCUCCGCCCUCCAAAUACGUCCGCCUGGUCCAAGUGCCGGGAAUCCCAUUAUAUUAUUCACGAAUCGUUUGCAACCAACAGUAACAUCAUUAUCAUAUUAAGGAUUGGAUUAUUGUAAAGAUGUGGUAGUUGAUCAAUUCAGCAACGCGUUACUGUUGAAAUUAAAGCGAGAAAGUAUGUGAAGAACCAACACAGAAACUGCUAACGUUCGUGUGACCGUUCUCAAAGUCACUUACGUCACAGCCAGGAAGAAGCGAUAGCUCUGCUAGAGAAGUCCUUCGGAAGUGUUGUUUUGAUUAUACGGUGCAUUUCAGGGGUUUAUUCCCCUAUCUAAUCCGUUCUUGUAGAUGAAAGACAGGUGUUGGUGACACCAUGGCACCACUCCUGUUAUACCGCAUCGUCAGCUCCCUAACCUGCCAUCUAACCCAGAUCACCCUCAGCCGGAUCUACCCUAGCACUGCCACCACCAUCUCCCGCUGCCUCUCCUCCCUUACAUCCUACCCAGCCAGAGUACUCCUGACCCCGGGUAGACCCAUCCAGCCCCUGGCCUCUUCUCCUCGAUCUUCUCCCCAGGAUGGUGGCUCCCUCCUAGGCCAGUGUCAGCACCUGGCCUGCCUCCAGCCCACUUCAGGGAUGAAAACCAAGAGCGCUCUGAAACGGCGCUGUAAAGAUUGCUUCUUUGUGGUACGGCGGGGUCGUCUAUUUGUGUUCUGUAAGGCUCACCCCAGACACAAGCAGCGACAGGGGUGAUGAGGAGCAGGGGGUGUAUGGUCCUCGAAAUUGUUUGUUACUUGAAUUGCCACAUUAAAGUUUUUGACUGAUUGACC